GCGACAGGCCGCCUUAUCGCCACGCAAAUGCGUGGAGGAAAGUCCGGACACCACAGCACAGCAUAGCGGGUAACACCCGUCGUCCGUCUUUGGCGGUCAGGACCAGUGCAACAGAAAGAAUGUACAGUUCGGCUGUAGUGAAAUCAGGUAAACUCUAUGCGGUGCAAUGCCAAAUAAACCGGUGCUUGAGGGUUGUGCGCCCGAGCCGGAGGGUAGGCAGCUAGAGGUGGCAGGCAACUGCCAUCGGAGAUAAAUGAUAAGGCCGUUGGAAUUUUCCAGCGGACAGAAUCCGGCUUACAGGCCUGUUUUUUUU
rnacentral:RNase_P_RNA from 2 species